UCUUACCAGUUCUUGCAUAUCCAAUCCCUCUUUUUAGGUUGUAAUAGUAUUUACUUACUGUUUUUUAUUAUUCUAAUAAUAACCCAGGGGCAAAUAUUAUUAAAGAUUAAAAAAACUGGA
rnacentral:rRNA from 1 species